rnacentral:rRNA from 1 species
CCUACGGGAGGCAGCAGUGGGGGAUAUUGGACAAUGGGGGGAACCCUGAUCCAGCGACGCCGCGUGAGUGAAGAAGUAUCUCGGUAUGUAAAGCUCUAUCAGCAGGGAAGAAGAAAUGACGGUACCUGAGUAAGAAGCCCCGGCUAACUACGUGCCAGCAGCCGCGGUAAUACGUAGGGGGCAAGCGUUAUCCGGAAUUACUGGGUGUAAAGGGAGCGUAGACGGUGAUGUAAGUCUGGAGUGAAAGGCGGGGGCCCAACCCCCGGACUGCUCUGGAAACUAUGUGACUGGAGUGCAGGAGAGGUGAGCGGAAGUCCUAGUGUAGCGGUGAAAUGCGUAGAUAUUAGGAGGAACACCGGUGGCGAAGGCGGCCUGCUGGACUGCAACUGACGUUGAGGCCCGAAAGCGUGGGGAGCAAACAGGAUUAGAUACCCGGGUAGUC